UUUUUAUCCAGGUUGACCUCGGAUCAGGUAGGGAUACCCGCUGAACUUAA
rnacentral:rRNA from 5 species